GGCUGUUUGUUGCAGAUGGCAACUGGAAACCCUUCCUUCUGCAGGGGCCAUGCUGGUGGGAACCAGGGAGUCCCCUGCCCCAAAUAACUGAACAUCUAGAUGUCUCAAUCCACACUGGAAAGGACCAGCCCUAGGAGUGAGAGAGAUUCUGUGUCCAUGCCUCAGCCAGGAAAAAGGGCCUGCCAAGAAGAGCAGCAAGCCUGAUGAUAGAGCAACAUGCCAACGGGGAUGACAGAAACCUGCCCUUAGCACUGGAACGAGGAAUUUCCCAUAGCAAUGGCUUUUCAUCACCACUGAACCAGGCCAGCCUGAAAUCUGGUGAAAAGCCUCUUCUUACCAAACACAUGAGCCAUCUACUUACCUAAUCCCUUCAGUUCCUCCGAAGGGCAGUGUGCUGUAAUGACCCUAGCCUCACAUGCUUCUGCAAAAGGAA